GGUGGCCUAAGUGGUCAGUGCGUCCGCCUCGGUAUCGGAAGAUGUCGGGUUCGAACCCCGUCACA